GGACCCUAGUUGUCAGCUUGGCUCCGCCGCACGCGUGUCACCUGUUUUGGCCGCACCACUCACUGCACAUGGGACCUGGUAGUCACAGUAUUCCCCGCAUCGUGCGCACGUCGCUGAGCUCAACAAACCGCGCAUGGUUUGCGGAUUCCGUUGCGGGGAAUCUGGAAUCGAGCUGGCCAAGGCUAUUUAGCCAUAACGCGACCGGUUCCCUACCCACCAUUGGGAGCUAUUGCAUCGCGCCGUGGUGUGGAGCAAGGGGGGAUUCGCCUUCACCGUCGAUCGCCGCGUGCGCCUCUCGGCAUAUCCGCCACUACACUAGACGAGCAAACUACUGUGGAUCCUGAGGCCCAGCAGAUAGAAGUAGCUGAGCAGGAGCUCAUUGAAG